rnacentral:pre_miRNA from 1 species
ACCAGGCAAGAUGUUGGCAUUGUUGAAUAUAAUAUUUUGCUUUCAGCAGUGCUACAUAGGGCCAAGUU